AGAAACUUCAACAAACACUUAACUGGAAAAUCCUCAUCUGAUUGGAACAGUAAAAUUGUUCAUCAUCCGAGACAAAGUGAUGGCCACAACUGCGGACCACUCAUCUUAAAGUUUGCAGAAGCAUAUUUGGAGCACAAAGACAUAAGUAUGGUAGAAACAACACAAGAGGCUAAUAUUGCGUUUAGAAGACAUAUAGCAAUUCUUCUAAUGAAGGAGUCAG